rnacentral:rRNA from 1 species
GGACGAACGCUGGCGGCGUGCCUAAUACAUGCAAGUCGAACGGUCUUUUCUAUGGAAGCUUGCUUCCACUGAAAAGAUAGUGGCGAACGGGUGAGUAACACGUGGGUAACCUGCCCAUAAGAGGGGGGAUAACAUCCGGAAACGGGUGCUAAUACCGCAUAGUUUUCUUGAUCGCAUGAUCGGGAAAGGAAAGACGGCCUUUGUGCUGUCGCUUAUGGAUGGACCCGCGGCGUAUUAGUUAGUUGGUGAGGUAACGGCUCACCAAGACGAUGAUACGUAGCCGACCUGAGAGGGUGAUCGGCUACAUUGGGACUGAGACACGGCCCAAACUCCUACGGGAGGCAGCAGUAGGGAAUCUUCCGCAAUGGACGAAAGUCUGACGGAGCAACGCCGCGUGAGUGAAGAAAGGUUUUCGGAUCGUAAAACUCUGUUGUCAGAGAAGAACAAGUUGGAGAGUAACUGCUCCAGCCUUGACGGUAUCUGACCAGAAAGCCACGGCUAACUACGUGCCAGCCGCGGC